GGCGUAGUGGCAGAGUGGUCUAAUGCGAUAGACUAGAAUGUGGUACUACCAUACUUCUGGAUUAUCUAUUCUCUUCGGAGGCAACGGUUCAAAUCCGUUCUACGUCG
rfam:Pseudomassariella vexata strain CBS 129021 BCR38scaffold_6, whole genome shotgun sequence.